rnacentral:lncRNA from 1 species
UUGAAUUGAUUAGAUUUUGGUUAGAAUUUGAUUUAGAGAUAGGAUUGGAUUAAGAUUUAAGAUUAGAUUAGGAUUUAGGAUUUGAUUAAGGUUAAUUUAGAAUUUAGAAUUGGAUUAGGAUUUAGGAUUUGAUUAAGGUUAAAUUAGAAUUUAGAAUUGGACUAGGAUUUAGAAUUUGAUUAAAGAUUUAUUUAGGAUUUAGGAUUUGAUUAAAGAUUUAUUUAGGAUUUAGGAUUUGAUUUAGGAUUUAUUUAGGAUUUAGGAUUUAGAAUUUGCUUAGGAUAAAGGAUUUGGCUUAGGAUGUGAUUGAAAUCCAUUAAGAUUUCAACUAGAAAUAAAUUAGAAUUUAGUUGAGAUUUAUUUAAGAUAUAUUUUUGAUU